UACGUAGGGGGCGAGCGUUGUCCGGAUUUAUUGGGCGUAAAGAGCGUGUAGGCGGCCAGAUAGGUCUGUUGUGAAAACUCGAGGCUCAACCUCGAGACGCCGAUGGAAACCAUUUGGCUAGAGUCCGGAAGAGGAGAGUGGAAUUCCUGGUGUAGCGGUGAAAUGCGCAGAUAUCAGGAGGAACACCAAUGGCGAAGGCAGCACUCUGGGACGUGACUGACGCUGAGACGCGAAAGCGUGGGGAGCAAACAGG
rnacentral:rRNA from 1 species